CUCAAACUCGGGUCUCUUCACUGCCAAUCCAGCGCUGUCGUCAACCUCCACUCAGACACAAUUAUUGCUUCAGCUCUACAAGAAGGCGCCUGUAGAUAAGGGACUUGCAGGCAUGGUAAAUGCAGGACCUCGAGCUGGCGAGAUUAGCCAAAACUAUCCAGGUGCACCUUAAAUAUUCCAGAGGGAGGCAACAAGCCGGCUACACGUAAUCCUGUUGGGUUCCUGUCUAGCUCAUCCUGUUCACAGCUGCACCUGCAAAAUACGGUGCUACUUUGUAACAUUUGGCAAGAAUCGCCCAGACGUUGAGACCCUUGUCCUAUCUUACACGUUUGCUGAUGAAAAUGGUUUUGAACGAUUAAUACAAAAAUCUAGUUGGCAUAGGCUAAGGCGCACGCCAUGGCUCUCAUUAGGUAUUGAUCCACCUGCUUUG